rnacentral:rRNA from 1 species
ACUCCUACGGGAGGCAGCAGUGAGGAAUAUUGGUCAAUGGGCGGCAGCCUGAACCAGCCAUCCCGCGUGAAGGAAGAAGGCGCUAUGCGUUGUAAACUUCUUUUCCAGGGGGAGAAUUUUUCCGUCGUGACGGGAAUUGACGGUACUCUGGGAAUAAGCAUCGGCUAACUCCGUGCCAGCAGCCGCGGUAAUACGGAGGAUGCGAGCGUUAUCCGGAUUUAUUGGGUUUAAAGGGUGCGUAGGCGGAUUGAUAAGUCAGUGGUGAAAGGCUGCAGCUUAACUGUAGACUUGCCGUUGAUACUGUCAGUCUUGAGUAUGGUCAAGGCAGGCGGAAUGUGUAAUGUAGCGGUGAAAUGCUUAGAUAUUACACAGAACACCGAUUGCGAAGGCAGCUUGCUGGGCCAUCACUGACGCUCAUGCACGAAAGCGUGGGGAUCGAACAGGAUUAGAUACCCUGGUAGUC